CCUGGCUCAGGAUGAACGCUAGCUACAGGCUUAACACAUGCAAGUCGAGGGGCAGCAUGAAGUUGCUUGCAAACUUGAUGGCGACCGGCGCACGGGUGAGUAACGCGUAUCCAACCUGGCCCUUAGUAGGGGAUAGCCCGGCGAAAGUCGGAUUAAUACCCUAUGUUUUCCUAUGAGGACAUCUGAGCAGGAACAAAGAUUUAUCGCUAAGGGAUGGGGAUGCGUCUGAUUAGCUUGUCGGCGGGGUAACGGCCCACCGAGGCUACGAUCAGUAGGGGUUCUGAGAGGAAGGUCCCCCCACAUUGGUACUGAGACACGGACCAAACUCCUACGGGAGGCAGCAGUGAGGAAUAUUGGUCAAUGGGCGAGAGCCUGAACCAGCCAAGUAGCGUGCAGGAUGAACCUGCCCUAUGGGUUGUAAACUGCUUUUAUGCGGGAAUAAAGUGCAUCACGUGUGGUGUUUUGUAUGUACCGCAUGAAUAAGGACCGGCUAAUUCCGUGCCAGCAGCUGC
rnacentral:rRNA from 1 species